CAAAGGAGCAUACUAUUUCUAGAUAUUCUUACAGUUGCCCCUUUAUUUUCCUAAAUAACUUACUGAUUAAUCAGAUCGACCCUCCUUUGCCUGUGCCUUUGCCUUUUUUACACCGAACUAAAACAAUCUGUAUCUCUAAUCUCGCUGCCAUUCUCUAUUUCUGUCCUUCUAAGAAAUAAAAGAACAGAAAUGAAAAUUCAGCACUGUAGAUAAUUAUAUAAAUCAUCAGCAGCCGAUCCAUGAUUUGAUUUGAAAUCCACCACAUUUUCAUUUCCCAAUCAAAAGGGAAUUUGAAUUGGUUGUGGUUGAAGAGGUAUGGCUUGGUUUAGCGGGAAGGUGUCCCUAGGGAACUUCCCGGAUCUUGCUGGGGCGGUGAAUAAGCUCAGUGAGAGUGUCAAGAACAUUGAAAAGAAUUUUGAUAGUGCUCUUGGUUUGGAGGAGAAGUCUGAUUCUACUAGUAGUGAAGCUUCUGGACUAUGGCCUGUUAUGUCUUUUAUGGGCCAGAAAGGUGAUGACAGGAACACCGAGUCUUCGGGAAAAACUGAAUCCCCUCAGAAAUUGUGUACAGUUGAGGAAUAUGAGACACAUAAGUUUGCCACUGAAGAGUCAGCGGCUGGAGAAGAAAAGCAAGUGCUCAAAAACGAAAAAGAAGAUGAGCAAUUGAGGAUUGCAGAAGAAAAGGAUGUUGUGGUGUCAGAUCCAAUUAAACCUGCAUCUGACGUUCUUGAGUCUGUGACUGUUCCUGUUGAAACUCCUGAAACCGUCGUUCAUGAUGUUAAGACGCUGGAUUCAGUUGACAGUCUACAGGAGAGAAAGAUCUCAGAAGAUGGCCCUGCUGAAAAUUCAGACACAGUGGAGAGCAAGUCAGGAGAUGUCAGAGUGGAUCAGGUCGACGAUGAUAGUAUCAUGCAGAAUCACUCAUUUAGAGUGGUUGAUAGUCAUGAAAGCACUGAUGAGCAGAAGACACCAAGUGAGGGGACUGUAGAUGAAAGUUCUCCUGUUCAAGCUGAAACCUCAAAAAUUGCCCGAGUUGAGUCAUUAACUGAUAACCAAGCUGGAGCUGCAAUUGAUCCAUCUGGUUUGCCAGUUAGUGCUGAAGAGAUAGAGACCACUCGUGAAGCUUCUUUCUCCACUGCACUUCCGUUAGAUGAGGCUCCAGAGAUGGUUCCUGAAUCAUCAGUUUCAAGUGAAAAUGAUGUGAAUAUUAAGACAGUAGGAGAGGAAAAGCAAGGCAAUGAUGGUGGAAUGGACAUUAAAGAGCAACGCUUGAGCCCAGCAUCAAGUAUGUCUGACUCCACAGAUGCAUCUAUUGAUGUAGAAAAGAUGAACAUGGAGAUGAAAAUGAUGGAAACUGCAUUGCAAGGUGCUGCAAGGCAAGCUCAGGCAAAGGCUGAUGAGAUUGCAAAGUUAAUGAAUGAAAAUGAGCAACUGAAAGCUGUGAUUGAGGAUUUGAAGAGAAAAUCCACUGAUGCAGAAAUUGAGUCUUUAAGAGAGGAAUACCAUCAAAGGGUUGCAACCCUUGAAAGAAAGGUUUAUGCUCUUACAAAAGAAAGGGAUACACUCCGGAGAGAGCAGAACAGAAAAAGUGAUGCAGCUGCUCUUUUGAAGGAAAAAGAUGAAAUCAUCAGUCAGGUUAUGGCUGAAGGUGAAGAGCUUUCGAAAAAGCAGGCUGCUCAAGAAUCUACAAUUAGGAAAUUAAGAGCUCAGAUUAGAGAGUUUGAAGAAGAGAAGAAAGGGCUGAUGACCAAGCUUCAGGUGGAAGAGAAUAAAGUAGAGAGUAUCAAGAAGGACAAGACAGCUACAGAAAAGUUGCUACAAGAGACAAUAGAAAAACACCAAACUGAACUGUCAGCGCAGAAAGAGUUUUAUACAAAUGCUUUGACUGCAGCAAAGGAGGCUGAAACACUAGCGGAGGCACGUGCCAAUAAUGAAGCCAGAACCGAAUUAGAGAGUCGUCUAAGAGAGGCUGAGGAGCGUGAGAGCAUGCUAGUUCAGGCACUUGAAGAAUUAAGACAAACUUUGAGUAGAAAGGAGCAGCAGGCUGUUUUUAGAGAAGACAUGCUUCGUAGGGACAUCGAAGACCUUCAAAAACGUUAUCAAGCAAGUGAGCGCCGGUGUGAGGAGUUAGUAACUCAAGUCCCUGAAUCUACAAGGCCUCUUCUGAGGCAAAUAGAAGCAAUGCAGGAAACAAUGGCCCGAAGAGCUGAAGCUUGGUCUGCUGUGGAGAGAUCUCUAAACUCUCGACUCCAGGAAGCAGAGGCCAAAGCUGCAACUGCCGAGGAAAGAGAGCGCACUAUAAAUGAACGUUUGUCACAGACCUUAUCUCGAAUCAAUGUUCUUGAAGCUCAGAUUUCAUGCCUUAGAGCAGAGCAGACACAGUUAAGCAAGUCGCUCGAAAAGGAGAGACAGAGGGCAGCUGAAAAUAGGCAGGAAUACCUUGCAGCCAAGGAGGAAGCUGAGACUCAAAAAGGUCGUGCAAACCAGCUUGAAGAAGAAAUUAAAGAACUCAGGCAGAGACACAAGCAAGAGUUGCAAGAUGCGUUGAUGCACAGGGAACUUCUACAGCAGGAAGUUGAAAGGGAGAAGGCUGCGCGAUUGGAGCUGGAAAGGACAGUUCGUGUCCAUUCUACUACCAUAUCUGAUCAAACCCCCAUAACAAAGGGCAAUUCUGGUUUUGAGAAUGGAAACUUGAACCGAAAGCUCUCAAAUGCUAGCAGCAUGGAGGAAAGCUAUUUUCUACAAGCUUCUUUGGACACGUCUGACAGUUUCUCUGAAAGGAGAAAUCCAGGAGAGGCGUCCAUGAGUCCGUACUUCAUGAAGAGUAUGACACCCAGUACUUUUGAAUCUGCCCUUCGUCAGAAAGAGGGUGAACUUGCGUCGUACAUCUCUCGUUUGACGUCCAUGGAAUCUAUUCGUGAUUCUCUUGCAGAGGAGUUAGUCAAAAUGACAGCACAGUGUGAAAAGUUGCAAGCAGAGUCUGCCUUGGUGCCAGGCAUUCGAGCAGAGCUAGAAGCACUAAGAAGGAGGCACUCUGCUGCACUGGAGUUAAUGGGUGAGCGUGAUGAGGAGUUGGAGGAACUUCGUGCUGAUAUUGUAGACUUGAAAGAAAUGUACAGAGAGCAAGUAAACUUGCUUGUCAAUAAGAUCCAAGUGAUGAGUCCGUCAGUGGGCAAUGCCUAAUAUAAGUCAACUUAACAGAAGGACUUGUGAAGUUGACAGUAUAGUUUAUAGCAUAUUCAGUAAAUCCACAUAAUUGCUAAGACAGGUACAAUACAUAUGAUUCAUUGUCAUGUUUAUAGAUAUUUCAUCGUUUUUUUUUUCCUUUGUAAGAAAAAAGAAAAAAAAAAAAGAGAAUUAAGAUUUCUGCCUAUAGUUAAACCUAGAUAGGAGGCCCUUGCAAAGAUUUCAGACCCCUUGUGAGUUGACCUACUUCCAGUAUGAAAGGUUGAAGAUAUCUACCAGUCCCAUGCGCUUGUGUGCUGGAAAGUUAUGAGAAGUCUUGUCUUCCACUUGCUGCAUUAUGAUUGAAGACAGACCAAUUAUGUAUGCUUGAUCUUCUCCGGAAAUACAUACAUAUAUAAAUAUAUUAAAGCCUUGCUGCUUUAAUAACUUUCUUGUUGAGUGCAAAACUUAAUGCCCUCCUGCUUCAGUAUCUAUUCCCACAUAGUAAUGCUAAAGCUUGAAGAAAGUUGGACGUGCUUAGGUGGAUAUUCUCAAAAGCUUUUAAAGUAUUUUUCUAUGAAAUGAUGAAAGUUGUAAUUGUUUUCUAUCUUUAUAAUUCAUUGAUUAUAAAUUAAACAAAUA